rnacentral:rRNA from 1 species
GGUUAAGCGACUAAGCGUACACGGUGGAUGCCCUGGCAGUCAGAGGCGAUGAAGGACGUGCUAAUCUGCGAAAAGCGUCGGUAAGGUGAUAUGAACCGUUACAGCCGGCGAUGUCCGAAUGGGGAAACCCAGUGCAAUUCGUUGCACUAUCGUUAACUGAAUACAUAGGUUAACGAGGCGAACCGGGGGAACUGAAACAUCUAAGUACCCCGAGGAAAAGAAAUCAACCGAGAUUCCCCCAGUAGCGGCGAGCGAACGGGGAGCAGCCCAGAGUCUGAAUCAGCUUGUGUGUUAGUGGAACGGUCUGGAAAGUCCGACGGUACAGGGUGAUAGUCCCGUACACCAAAAUGCACAGGUUGUGAACUCGAAGAGUAGGGCGGGACACGUGGUAUCCUGUCUGAAUAUGGGGGGACCAUCCUCCAAGGCUAAAUACUCCUGACUGACCGAUAGUGAACCAGUACCGUGAGGGAAAGGCGAAAAGAACCCCGGCGAGGGGAGUGAAAAAGAACCUGAAACCGUGUACGUACAAGCAGUGGGAGCACCUUCGGGUGUGACUGCGUACCUUUUGUAUAAUGGGUCAGCGACUUAUAUUCUGUAGCAAGGUUAACCGUAUAGGGGAGCCGCAGGGAAACCGAGUCUUAACUGGGCGUUAAGUUGCAGGGUAUAGACCCGAAACCCGGUGAUCUAGCCAUGGGCAGGUUGAAGGUUGGGUAACACUAACUGGAGGACCGAACCGACUAAUGUUGAAAAAUUAGCGGAUGACUUGUGGCUGGGGGUGAAAGGCCAAUCAAACCGGGAGAUAGCUGGUUCUCCCCGAAAGCUAUUUAGGUAGCGCCUCGUGAAUUCAUCUUCGGGGGUAGAGCACUGUUUCGGCUAGGGGGUCAUCCCGACUUACCAACCCGAUGCAAACUACGAAUACCGAAGAAUGUUAUCACGGGAGACACACGGCGGGUGCUAACGUCCGUCGUGAAGAGGGAAACAACCCAGACCGCCAGCUAAGGUCCCAAAGUCAUGGUUAAGUGGGAAACGAUGUGGGAAGGCACAGACAGCCAGGAUGUUGGCUUAGAAGCAGCCAUCAUUUAAAGAAAGCGUAAUAGCUCACUGGUCGAGUCGGCCUGCGCGGAAGAUGUAACGGGGCUAAACCAUGCACCGAAGCUGCGGCAGCGACACUAUGUGUUGUUGGGUAGGGGAGCGUUCUGUAAGCCUGCGAAGGUGACCUGUGAGGGUUGCUGGAGGUAUCAGAAGUGCGAAUGCUGACAUAAGUAACGAUAAAGCGGGUGAAAAGCCCGCUCGCCGGAAGACCAAGGGUUCCUGUCCAACGUUAAUCGGGGCAGGGUGAGUCGACCCCUAAGGCGAGGCCGAAAGGCGUAGUCGAUGGGAAACAGGUUAAUAUUCCUGUACUUGGUGUUACUGCGAAGGGGGGACGGAGAAGGCUAUGUUAGCCGGGCGACGGUUGUCCCGGUUUAAGCAUGUAGGCUGAUUGUCCAGGCAAAUCCGGAUAAUCAAGGCUGAGGUGUGAUGACGAGGCACUACGGUGCUGAAGUAACAAAUGCCCUGCUUCCAGGAAAAGCCUCUAAGCAUCAGGUAACAUUAAAUCGUACCCCAAACCGACACAGGUGGUCAGGUAGAGAAUACCAAGGCGCUUGAGAGAACUCGGGUGAAGGAACUAGGCAAAAUGGUGCCGUAACUUCGGGAGAAGGCACGCUGGUGUGUAGGUGAAGUCCCUGCGGAUGGAGCUGAGACCAGUCGAAGAUACCAGCUGGCUGCAACUGUUUAUUAAAAACACAGCACUGUGCAAACACGAAAGUGGACGUAUACGGUGUGACGCCUGCCCGGUGCCGGAAGGUUAAUUGAUGGGGUUAUCCGUAAGGAGAAGCUCUUGAUCGAAGCCCCGGUAAACGGCGGCCGUAACUAUAACGGUCCUAAGGUAGCGAAAUUCCUUGUCGGGUAAGUUCCGACCUGCACGAAUGGCGUAAUGAUGGCCAGGCUGUCUCCACCCGAGACUCAGUGAAAUUGAACUCGCUGUGAAGAUGCAGUGUACCCGCGGCAAGACGGAAAGACCCCGUGAACCUUUACUAUAGCUUGACACUGAACAUUGAGCCUUGAUGUGUAGGAUAGGUGGGAGGCUUUGAAGCGUGGACGCCAGUCUGCGUGGAGCCAACCUUGAAAUACCACCCUUUAAUGUUUGAUGUUCUAACGUUGGCCCCUUACCGGGGUUGCGGACAGUGUCUGGUGGGUAGUUUGACUGGGGCGGUCUCCUCCCAAAGCGUAACGGAGGAGCACGAAGGUUAGCUAAUCCUGGUCGGACAUCAGGAGGUUAGUGCAAUGGCAUAAGCUAGCUUGACUGCGAGCGUGACGGCGCGAGCAGGUGCGAAAGCAGGUCAUAGUGAUCCGGUGGUUCUGAAUGGAAGGGCCAUCGCUCAACGGAUAAAAGGUACUCCGGGGAUAACAGGCUGAUACCGCCCAAGAGUUCAUAUCGACGGCGGUGUUUGGCACCUCGAUGUCGGCUCAUCACAUCCUGGGGCUGAAGUAGGUCCCAAGGGUAUGGCUGUUCGCCAUUUAAAGUGGUACGCGAGCUGGGUUUAGAACGUCGUGAGACAGUUCGGUCCCUAUCUGCCGUGGGCGCUGGAGAAUUGAGGGGGGCUGCUCCUAGUACGAGAGGACCGGAGUGGACGCAUCACUGGUGUUCGGGUUGUCAUGCCAAUGGCACUGCCCGGUAGCUAAAUGCGGAAGAGAUAAGUGCUGAAAGCAUCUAAGCACGAAACUUGCCCCGAGAUGAGUUCUCCCUGAGACUUUAAGUCUCCUGAAGGAACGUUGAAGACGACGACGUUGAUAGGCCGGGUGUGUAAGCGCAGCGAUGCGUUGAGCUAACCGGUACUAAUGAACCGUGAGGCUUAACCUU